GAAGACAGAGAGAGUGAAAGAGAGGACUCGAGGAGAGAGAAGACAGAAGAGAGUGGGAUUUUCUGUCUGGGAGAUGUAGUGCAAAAAAGGGGCCAAUUUUCAAAUUUUUUUUGUUGAAAUUCUUUCUUUGGUAUCCUUACCUUUUCCGGUCUCUACCCUGUUUCUAUACAACACUUUUCCGGUGAGCUUUUGCCGGCCGGCAAAUUUAUACCCUUUUCUUAGUAACCCAUUUUCCUAAAAGUCUAAGCUUUUCUUUCUUGAUUUUUUUUUUAAGCUGAGAAUAAAAUAAAUAAUUUCUUUACUUGUUUCAUUGAGCUCAGGGAAGCUAGAAAAGUGCUCAGAUUUUAGUUAUUAGAUUCGAGAGAUCGACUUUAUGUAUCGCCGGAAAGAUGAAACUCCGGUAAGAUUUUCCGAUUAUUUCAGCUUCAAAACUGAGGGCGCUGAAGGAAAAAAAUAUUGAAUCACCUCAAUGAAGACUCCAAUGCUGCCGUAGCUGCUAUGGGCAGUCCCGGAGAAG
rnacentral:lncRNA from 1 species